rnacentral:tRNA from 1 species
GCGGGAGUAGCUCAGCUGGUAGAGCGUCUCGUUGCCAACGAGAAGGUCGCGGGUUCAAGCCCCGUUUCCCGCUCCA